rnacentral:rRNA from 1 species
CAGUAGCCGCGGUAAUACAGAGGGUGCGAGCGUUAAUCGGAUUUACUGGGCGUAAAGCGUGCGUAGGCGGCUUCUUAAGUCGGAUGUGAAAUCCCUGAGCUUAACUUAGGAAUUGCAUUCGAUACUGGGAAGCUAGAGUAUGGGAGAGGAUGGUAGAAUUCCAGGUGUAGCGGUGAAAUGCGUAGAGAUCUGGAGGAAUACCGAUGGCGAAGGCAGCCAUCUGUCCUAAUACUGACGCUGAGGUACGAAAGCAUGGGGAGCAAACAGGAUUAGAUACCCCCGUAGUCCCUGUCUCUUAUAU